rnacentral:rRNA from 1 species
GACGAACGCUGGCGGCGUGCCUAAUACAUGCAAGUCGAACGCAGUGGGGACGGGUGAGUAACACGUGGGUAACCUCCCAUCAGAGGGGAUAACACUUGGAAACAGGUGCUAAACCGAUACUGAUGGAUGAACCCGCGGGGCAUUAGCUAGUUGGUGAGGUAACGGCUCACCAAGGCCACGAUGCAUAGCGGGCCUGAGAGGGGGAUCGGCAAAACUGGGACUGAGACACGGCCCAGACUCCUACGGGAGGCAGCAGUGGGGAAUCUUGGGCAAUGGGCGAAAGUCUGACCGAGCAACGCCGCGUGUGUGAAGAAGGUUUUCGGAUCGUAAAGCUCUGUUGUUCGAGAGGCGGUAUCUACCCAAAAAGCCACGGCUAACUACGUGCCAGCAGCCGCGGUAAUUC